GUUCCAUUAGAUAGUAGGCGGGGUAACGGCCCACCUAGUCAACGAUGGAUAGGGGUUCUGAGAGGAAGGUCCCCCACAUUGGAACUGAGACACGGUCCAAACUCCUACGGGAGGCAGCAGUGAGGAAUAUUGGUCAAUGGGCGAUGGCCUGAACCAGCCAAGUAGCGUGAAGGAUGACUGCCCUAUGGGUUGUAAACUUCUUUUAUAAAGGAAUAAAGUCGGGUAUGCAUACCCGUUUGCAUGUACUUUAUGAAUAAGGAUCGGCUAACUCCGUGCCAGCAGCCGCGGUAAUACGGAGGAUCCGAGCGUUAUCCGGAUUUAUUGGGUUUAAAGGGAGCGUAGAUGGAUGUUUAAGUCAGUUGUGAAAGUUUGCGGCUCAACCGUAAAAUUGCAGUUGAUACUGGAUGUCUUGAGUGCAGUUGAG
rnacentral:rRNA from 1 species